UACGGGGGGGGCAAGCGUUGUUCGGAAUUACUGGGCGUAAAGGGCUCGUAGGCGGCCAACUAAGUCGGACGUGAAAUCCCCGGGCUCAACCUGGGAACUGCAUUUGUGACUGCAUGGCUAGAGUACGGCAGAGGGGGAUGGAAUUCCGCGUGUAGCAGUGAAAUGCGUAGAUAUGCGGAGGAACACCGAUGGCGAAGGCAAUCCCCUGGGCCUGUACUGACGCUCAUGCACGAAAGCGUGGGGAGCAAACAGG
rnacentral:rRNA from 1 species